AAUGGGACCUGAUGGAAUACACCCAAAGCUAUUAAAAGAGCUUAGUGGUGUACUAGCAAAACCAUUUACAGAUUUAUUUAACCAAUCAUUGUUAACAGGAGUAGUCCCAGAAGAUUGGAAGUUAGCGAAUGUUGUGCCCAUUUACAAGAAAGGUAAUAGGGAGGAGUCGGGCAACUAUAGGCCAGUAAGCCUUACUUCAGUAGUGGGGAAAGUGAUGGAAACCAUGUUAAAGGAUAGGAUUGAUGAACAUCUAAAAACACAUGGAUUUCAAGAUCAGAGACAACAUGGGUUUACUUCAGGGAGAUCAUGCCAAAC